rnacentral:rRNA from 1 species
GUGACGCACGCGGGGUGGGCGUCGGUGCUGGAGGGCGUGUCCGCCGGCGUGCCCAUGGCGUGCCGCCCCUUCUUCACCGACCAGAAGAUGAACGCGCAGCUGGUGGCGCAAGUCUGGGGUUUCGGCGUGGUCUUGGAGGAGCCCAUGACGUGCGAGGCCGUGGCGGCGGCGGUACGGUCGCUCCUCGCCGGGGAUCAAGGCAUCCGGAUGUGGGAAAAGAUGCAAGAGAUGAGGGGCAUGGCGGCCAAUGCUUUCGCCGCCGAUGGCGGUAGCAGGAAGAACUUAGAUAAGCUUGUCAAGAUAGUAUGUCGACAACUGUAA